ACCCAACUGACGAGUCCCGAAUAGGACGAAAUGAGCUUCCUAGAU
rfam:Schistosoma curassoni strain Dakar, Senegal genome assembly, scaffold: SCTD_contig0000842